GCCGGUAUAGCUCAGUCGGUAGAGCAACCGCCUUGUAAGCGGUAGGUCCCCAGUUCGAGUCUGGGUGCCGGCACCA
rnacentral:tRNA from 1 species